rnacentral:tRNA from 1 species
GCCGGUUUAGCUCAGUGGUAGAGCGACGCUUUUGUAAAGCGUGGGUCGUCGGUUCGAACCCGACAACCGGCU